AUGAUGGUUUAGUCGCUUUUCAUUAUAAGUCUUAUGGGACUUUUUUCAUACAGAUAAAAAGCCCUAUAACCUCUGAGGUGGCGUUACCCACUACAGAUAUUAUAGAGCC
rnacentral:ncRNA from 1 species